AGCAGCCGCGGUAAUUCCAGCUCCAAUAGCGUAUAUUAAAGUUGUUGCAGUUAAAAAGCUCGUAGUUGAAUUUCGGGAUCAAUACGUCGGUCGUGCUUCGGUACGUACUGGCGUAAUUGAUUUCUCCCUUCUGACGAACCAUGAUGUCAUUAACUUGGUGUCAUGGGAAAUCAGGACUGUUACUUUGAAAAAAUUAGAGUGUUUAAAGCAGGCUCACGCUUGAAUACAUUAGCAUGGAAUAAUGAAAUAGGACGUUCGAUCCUAUUUUGUUGGUUUUUAGGAUCAACGUAAUGAUUAAUAGGGAUAGUUGGGGGCAUUAGUAUUCAAUUGUCAGAGGUGAAAUUCUUGGAUUUAUUGAAGACUAACUACUGCGAAAGCAUUUGCCAAGGAUGUUUUCAUUAAUCAAGAACGAAAGUUAGGGGAUCGAAGACGAUCAGAUACCGUCGUAGUCUUAACCAUAAACUAUGCCGACUAGGGAUCGGAUGAUGUUAAUUUUUAAUGACUCAUUCGGC
rnacentral:rRNA from 1 species